rnacentral:lncRNA from 1 species
GCCUCGGCCUUCGGGCUGUUAUUUUUGGGUACGGCUGUGCCCGCGGCCUAUUUUUGGCACACGGAGGCGCCUCGCAAAGUCUCGCGCCAUUCAGAGUCGGCGGAUGAUGUGGGCCGGCCCCACCCCCCAAGGCUAUAGCCCACCCGUUUUUGUGGCAUUUUUCCGCUGGACGAACUUGGCGCCCCGGCCUUCGGGCGGUUAUUUUUGGCUGAGCCUGUGCCCGCGGCUUAUUUUUGGCACACGGAGACGCCUCGCAAAGUCUCGCGCCAUUCCGAGUCCGGCGGACGAAGUUGGCCAGCCCCACCCCCCAAGGCUAUAGCCCACCCGUUUUUGUGGCAUUUUUCCGCUGGAUGAACUUGGUGCCCCGGCCUUCGGGCGGUUUUUUUUGGGAGCGGCUGUGGUCGCGGCCUAUUUUUGGCACACGGAGGUGCCUCGCAAAGUCUCACGCCAUUCCGAGUUUGGCGGACGAAGUCGGCCAGCCCCACCCGUUUUUGUGGGCUUUUUCCGCUGGACGAACUUGGCGCCUCGGCCUUCGGGCUGUUAUUUUUGGGUGCGGCUGUGCCCGCGGCCUAUUUUUGGCACACGGAGGUGCCUCACAAAGUCUUGCGCCAUUCUGUGCCCGGCGGACGAAGUUGGCCAGCCCCACCCCCCCAAGCCUAUAGCCCACCCGUUUUUGUGGGCUUUUUCCGCUGGACGAACGUGGCGCCCCGGCCUUCGUGCGGUUAUUUUUUGGCGCGGCUGUGCCCGCGGCCUAUUUUUGGCACAUGGAGACGCCUCGCAAACUCUCGCGCCAUUCCGAGUCCGGCGGACGAAAUUGGCCAGCCCCACCCCCCAAGGCUAUAGCCCACCCGUUUUUGUGGGCUUUUUCCGCUGGACGAACUUGGCGCCCCGGCCUUUGGGCGGUUAUUUUUGGGCGCGGCUGUGACCGUAGCCUAUUUUUGGCUCACGGAGGCACCUCGCAAAGUCUCGCGCCAUUCCGAGUCCGGCGGACGAAGUUGGCCAGCCCCACCCCCCAAGGCAAUAGCCCACCCGUUUUUGUGGCAUUUUUCCGCUAGACGAACUUGGCGCCCCGUCCUCGGGCGGUUAUUUUUGGGCGCGACUGUGCCCGCGGCCUAUUUUUGGCACACGGAGGUGCCUCGCAAAGUCACGCGCCAUUCCGAGUCAGGCGGACGAAGUCGGCCAGCCCCACCCCCCAAGGCUAUAGCCCACCCGUUUUUGUGGCAUUUUUCCGCUAGACGAACUUGGCGCCCCGGCUUCGGGCAGUUAUUUUUGGGUGCGGUUGUGCCUGCGGCCUAUAUUUGGCACACAGAGGCGCCUCGCAAAGUCUCACGCGAUUCCGUGUCUGGCGGAUGAAGUUGGCCAGGCCCACCCCCCAAGGCUAUAGCCCACCCGUUGUUGUGGCCUUUUUCCGCUGGACGAACGUGGCGCCCCGGCCAUCGGGCGGUUGUUUUUGGGCGCGGCUGUGCCCGCGGACUAUUUUUGGCACACGGAGGCGGGUUGCAAAGUCUCGCGCCAUUCCGAGCCCGGCGGAUGAAGUUGAUCAGCCCCACCCCCCAAGGAUAUAGCCCACCCGUUUUUGUGGGCUUUUUCCGCUGGACGAACUUGGCGCCCAGGCCUUCGGCUUGUUAUUUUUGGGCGCGGCUGUGUCCGCGGCCUAUUUUUAGCACACGGAGGCAGCUCGCAAAGUCUCGCGCCAUUCCGAGUCCGGCGGACGAAGUUGGCCAGCCCCACCCCCCAAGUCUAUAUCCCACCCGUUUUUGUGGGCUUUUUCCGCUGGACGAACUUGGCGCCCCGGCUAUCGGGUGGUUAUUUUUGGGCGAGGCUGCCCACACGGCCUAUUUUUGGCUCACGGAGGUGCCUCACAAAGUCUCGCGCCAUUCCGUGUCCGGCGGAGGAAGUUGGCCACCCCACCCCCCAAGGCUAUAGCCCACCCGUUUUUGUGGGCUUUUUCCGCUGGAUGAACUUGGUGCCCCGGCCUUCGGGCGGUUUGUUUUGGGAGCGGCUGUGGUCGCGGCCUAUUUUUGGCACACGGAGGUGCCUCGCAAAGUCUCACGCCAUUCCGAGUCCGGCGGACGAAGUUGGCCACCCCACCCCCCAAGGCUAUAGCCCACCCGUUUUUGUGGGCUUUUUCCGCUGGACGAACUCGGCACCCCGGCCUUCGGGCGGUUAUUUUUGGGCGCGGCUGUGCCCGCCGCCUAUUUUUGGCACACGGAGGUGCCUUGCAAAUUCUCGCGCCAUUCCGAGUCCGGCGGACGAAGUCGGAGGGCCCCACCCCCCAAGGCUAUAGCGCACCCGUUUUUGGGGCCUUUUUCCGCUGGACGAACUUGGCGCCCCGGCCUUCGGGCGGUUAUUUUUGGGCGCGGCAUUGCCCGCGGCCUAUUUUUGGCACACGGAGGCACCUCGCAAAUUCUCGCGGCAUUCCGAGUCCGGCGGACGAAGUGGGCCGCCCCACCCCUCAAGGCUAUAGCCCACCCGUUUUUGUGGCCUUUUUCCGCUGGACGAACUUGGCGCCCCGGCCUUCGGGCGGUUAUUUGUGGGCGCGGCUUUGUACUCGGCCUAUAUUUGGCACAUGGAGGCCCCUCGUAAAGUCUCGCGGCAUUCUGAGUCCGGCGGACGAAGGUGGCCAGCCCCACCCCCCAAGGCUAUAGCCCACCCGUUUUUGUGGCCUUUUUCUGCUGGACGAACUUGGCGCCCCGGCCUUCGGACGGUUAUUUUUGGGUGCGGCUUUGCCCGCGGCCUAUUUUUGGCACACGGAGGCCCCUCGCAAAGUCUCGCGCCAUUCCGAGUCCGGCGGACGAAGUGGGCCGGCCCACCCCCCAAGGCUAUAGCCCACCCGUUUUUGUGGCCUUUUUCCGCUGGACGAACUUGGCGCCCCGGCCUUCGGGCAGUUAUUUUUCGGCGCGGCUUUGCCCGCGGCCUAUUUUUGGCACACGGAGGCCCCUCGGAAUGUCUCGCGGCAUUCCGAGUCCGGCGGACGAAGUUGGCCAGCCCCACCCCUCAAGGCUAUAGCCCACCCGUUUUUGUGGCCUUUUUCCGCUGGACGAACUUGGCGCCCCGGCCUUCGGGCGGUUAUUUGUGGGCGCGGCUUUGUACUCGGCCUAUAUUUGGCACACGGAGGCCCCUCGUAAAGUCUCGCGGCAUUCCGAGUCCGGCGGACGAAGGUGGCCAGCCCCACCCCCCAAGGCUAUAGCCCACCCGUUUUUGUGGCCUUUUUCUGCUGGACGAACUUGGCGCCCCGGCCUUCGGACGGUUAUUUUUGGGUGCGGCUUUGCCCGCGGCCUAUUUUUGGCACACGGAGGCCCCUCGCAAAGUCUCGCGCCAUUCCGAGUCCGGCGGACGAAGUCGGCCAGCGCCACCCCCCAAGGCUAUAGCCCACCCGUUUUUGUGGCCUUUUUCCGCUGGACGAACUUGUCGCCCCGGCCUUCGGGCGGUUAUUUUUGGGCGCGGCUUUGCCCGCGGCCUUUUUUUGGCACACGGAGGCCCCUCACAAAGUCUCGCGCCAUUCCAAGUCCGGCGGACGAAGUAGGCCAGCCCCACCCCCCAAGGCUAUAACCCACCCAUUUUUGUGGCCUUUUUCCGCUGGACGAACUCGGCGCCCCGGCCUUCGGGAGGUUAUUUUUUGUCGCGGCUUUGUCCACGGCCUAUUUUUGGCACACGGAGGCCCCUCGCAAAGUCUCGCGCCAUUCCGAGGCCGGCGGCCGAAGUUGGCCAGCCCCACCCCUCAAGGCUAUAGCCCACCCGUUUUUGUGGCCUUUUUCCGCUGGACGAACUUGGCGCCCCGGCCUUCGGGCGUUAUUUUUGGGCGCGGCUUUGGCUGUGGCCUAUUUUUGGCACACGGAGGCCCCUCGCAAAGUCUCGCGGCAUUCCGUGUCCGGCGGACGAAGUUGGCCAGCCCCACUCCCCAAGGCUAUAGCCCACCCGUUUUUGUGGCAUCUUCCCGCCGGACGAACUUGGCGCCCCGGCCUUCGGGCGGUUAUUUUUGGGUGUGGCUUUUCCUGCGGCUUAUUUUUGGCACACGGAGGCCCCUCGCAAAGUCUCGCGCAAUUCCGAGUCCGGCGGACAAACUUGGCCAGCCCAACCCCCCAAGGCUUUAGCCCACCCAUUUUUUUGGCCUGUUUCCGCUGGACGAACUUGGCGCCCCGGCCUUCGGUCGCUUAUUUUUGGGUGAAGCUGUGCCCGCGGCCUAUUUUUGGCACACGGAGGCCCCUCGCAAAGUCUCGCGCAAUUCCGAGUCCGGCGGACGAACUUGGCCAGCCCAACCCCCCAAGGCUUUAGCCCACCCGUUUUUUUGGCCUUUUUCCGCUGGACGAACUUGGCGCCCCGGCCUUCGGUCGCUUAUUUUUGGGUGAAGCUGUGCCCGCGGCCUAUUUUUGGCACACGGAGGCCCCUCGCAAAGUCUCGCGGCAUUCCGAGUCCGGCGGACGAACUUGGUGCCCCGGCCUUCGGGCGGUUAUUUUUGGGCGCGGCUUUGGCCGCGGCCUAUUUUUGGCACACGGAGGCCCCUCGUAAAGUCUCACGGCAUUCCGAGUCCGGCGGAUGAAGUUGGCCAGCCCCACCCCCCAAGGCUAUAGCCCAACCGUUUUUGUGGCCUUUUUCCGCUGGACGAACUUGGCGCCCCGGCCUUCGGGCGGUUAUUUUGGGGCGCGGCCUUGCUCGCGGCUUAUUUUUGGCACACGGAGGCCCCUCGCAAAGUCUCGCACCAUUCCGAGUCCGGCGGACGAAGUUGGCCAGCUCCACCCCCCAAGGCUAUAGCCCACCAGUUUUGGUGGCCUUUUUCCGCAGGAGGAACUUGGCGCCCCGGCCUUCGGGCGGUUAUUUUUGGGCGUGGUUUUGCCCGCGGCCUAUUUUUGGCACACGGAGGCCCCUCGCAAAGUAUCGCGGCAUUCCGAGUCCGACGGACGAAGUUGGCCAGCCCCACCCCUCAAGGCUAUAGCCCACCCAUUUUUGUCGCCUUUUUCCGCCGGACGAACUUGGCGCCCCGGCAUUUGGGCGGUUAUUUUUAGGCGUGGCUUUGCCUGCGGCCUAUUUUUGGCACACGGAGGCCCCUCGCAAAGUCUCCCGGCAUUCCGAGUCCGGCGGACGAAGUUGGUCACCCCACCCCCCAAGGCUAUAGCCCACCCGUUUUUGUGGGCUUUUUCCGCUGGACGAACUUGGCGCCCUGGCCUUCGGGCGGUUAUUUUUUGCUGUGGCUGCGUCCGUGGCCUAUUUUUGGCACACGGAGGUGCCUCGCAAAGUUUCGCACCAUUCCGAGUCCGGCGGACGAUGUUGGCAAGCCCCACCCCCUAAGGCUAUAGCCCACCCGUUUUUGUGGAAUUUUUCCGCUGGACGAACUUGGCGCCCCGGCCUUCGGGUGGCUAUUUUUGGGCGCGGCUGUGCCCGCGGCCUAUUUUGGGCUCACGGAGGCGCCUCGCAAAGUCUCCCGCCAUUCCGAGUCCGGCUGACGAUGUUGGCCAGCCCCACCCCCUAUGGCUAUAGCCCACCCGUUUUUGUGGCAUUUUUCCGUUGGACGAACUUGGCGCCCCGGCCUUCGGGCAGUUAUUUUUGGGAGCGGCUGUACCCGUGGCCUAUUUUUGGCACACGGAGGCGCCUCGCAAAGUCUCGCGCCAUUCCGAGUCCGGCGGACGAAGUUGGCCAGCCCCACCCCCUAAUGCUAUAGCCCACCCGUUUUUGUGGGCUUUUUCCGCUGGACGAACUUGGCGCCCCGGCCUUCGGGCUGUUAUUUUUGGGCGCGGCUGUGCCCGCGGCCUAUUUUUGGCACACGUAGACGCCUCACAAAUUCUCGCACCAUUCCGACUCCGGCGGACGAAGUUGGCCAGCCCCACCCCCGAAGGCUAUUGCCCACCCAUUUUUGUGGCAUUUUUCCGCUGGACGAACUUGGCGCCCCGCCCUUCGGGUGGCUAUUUUUGGGCGCGGCUGUGCCCGGGGCCUAUCUUGGGCUCACGGAGGCGCCUCGCAAAGUCUCCCGCCAUUCCGAGUCCGGCUGACGAUGUUGGCCAGCCCCACCCCCUAUGGCUAUAGCCCACCCGUUUUUGUGGCAUUUUUCCGUUGGACGAACUUGGCGCCCCGGCCUUCGGGCAGUUAUUUUUGGGCGCGGCUGUACCCGUGGCCUAUUUUUGGCACACGGAGGCGCCUCGCAAAGUCUCGCGCCAUUCCGAGUCCGGCGGACGAAGUUGGCCAGCCCCACCCCCCAAUGCUAUAGCCCACCCGUUUUUGUGGGCUUUUUCCGCUGGACGAACUUGGCGCCCCGGCCUUCGGGCUGUUAUUUUUGGGCGCGGCUGUGCCCGCGGCCUAUUUUUGGCACACGGAGGCGCCUCACAAAUUCUCGCACCAUUCCGACUCCGGCGGACGAAGUUGGCCAGCCCCACCCCCCAAGGCUAUUGCCCACCCAUUUUUGUGGCCUUUUUCCGCUGGACGAACUUGGCGCCCCGGCCUUCGGGCGGUUAUUUUUGGGCGCGGCUGUGCCCGGGGCCUAUCUUGGGCUCAUGGAGGCGCCUCGCAAAGUUUCCCGCCAUUCCGAGUCCGGCUGACGAUGUUGGCCAGCCCCACCCCCUAUGGCUAUAGCCCACCCGUUUUUGUGGCAUUUUUCCGUUGGACGAACUUGGCGCCCCGGCCUUCGGGCAGUUAUUUUUGGGCGCGGCUGUACCCGUGGCCUAUGUUUAGCACACGGAGGCGCCUCGCAAAGUCUCGCGCCAUUCCGAGUCCGGCGGACGAAGUUGGCCAGCCCCACCCCCCAAUGCUAUAGCCCACCCGUUUUUGUGGGCUUUUUCCGCUGGACGAACUUGGCGCCCCGGCCUUCGGGCUGUUAUUUUUGGGCGCGGCUGUGCCCGCGGCCUAUUUUUGGCACACGGAGACGCCUCACAAAUUCUCGCACCAUUCCGACUCCGGCGGACGAAGUUGGCCAGCCCCACCCCCGAAGGCUAUUGCCCACCCAUUUUUGUGGCAUUUUUCCGCUGGACGAACUUGGCGCCCCGCCCUUCGGGUGGAAUAUUUUUGGGUGCGGCUGUGCCCGGGGCCUAUCUUGGGCUCACGGAGGCGCCUCGCAAAGUCUCCCGCCAUUCCGAGUCCGGCUGACGAUGUUGGCCAGCCCCACCCCCUAUGGCAAUAGCCCACCCGUUUUUGUGGCAUUUUUCCGUUGGACGAACUUGGCGCCCCGGCCUUCGGGCAGUUAUUUUUGGGCGCGGCUGUACCCGUGGCCUAUUUUUGGCACACGGAGGCGCCUCGCAAAGUCUCGCGCCAUUCCGAGUCCGGCGGACGAAGUUGGCCAGCCCCACCCCCCAAUGCUAUAGCCCACCCGUUUUUGUGGGCUUUUUCCGCUGGACGAACUUGGCGCCCCGGCCUUCGGGCUGUUAUUUUUGGGCGCGGCUGUGCCCGCGGCCUAUUUUUGGCACACGGAGACGCCUCACAAAUUCUCGCACCAUUCCGACUCCGGCGGACGAAGUUGGCCAGCCCCACCCCCGAAGGCUAUUGCCCACCCAUUUUUUUGGCAUUUUUCCGCUGGACGAACUUGGCGCCCCGCCCUUCGGGUGGCUAUUUUUGGGCGCGGCUGUGCCCGGGGCCUAUCUUGGGCUCAUGGAGGCGCCUCGCAAAGUCUCCCGCCAUUCCGAGUCCGGCUGACGAUGUUGGCCAGCCCCACCCCCUAUGGCUAUAGCCCACCCGUUUUUGUGGCAUUUUUCCGUUGGACGAACUUGGCGCCCCGGCCUUCGGGCAGUUAUUUUUGGGCGCGGCUGUACCCGUGGCCUAUUUUUGGCACACGGAGGCGCCUCGCAAAGUCUCGCGCCAUUCCGAGUCCGGCGGACGAAGUUGGCCAGCCCCACCCCCCAAGGCUAUAGCCCACCCGUUUUUGUUGGCUUUUUCCGGUGGACGAACGUGGCGCCCCGGCCUUCAGGCGGUUAUUUUUGGGAGCGGCUGUGCCCACGGCCACUUUUUGGCACACGGAGGCGCUUCGCAAAGUAUUGCCCCAUUCUGAGUCCGGCGGGCGAAGUUGGCCAGCCCCACCCCCCAAGGCUAUAGCCCACCCGUUUUUGUGGCCUUUUUCCGCGGGACGAACUUGGAGCCCCGGCCUUUGGGCUGUUAUUUUUGGGUGCAGCUGUGCCCGCGGCUACUUUUUGGCACACGGAGGCACCUCGCAAAGUCUCGCGCCAUUCCAAGUCCGGCGGACGAAGUUGGCCAGCCCCACCCCCCAAGGCUAUAGCCCACCCAUUUUUGUGGCAUUUUUCCGCUGGACGAACUUGGCGCCCCGGCCUUCGGGCUGUUAUUUUUGGCUGCGGCGGCACCCGCGGCCUAUUUUUCGCACACGGAGGCGCAUCGCAAAGUCUCGCGCCAUUCCGAGUCCGGCGGACGAUGUUGGCCAGCCCCACCCCCCGAGGCUAUAGCCCACCCGUUUUUGUGGCCUUUUUCCGCUGGACGAACUUGGCGCCCCGGCCUUCGGGCUGUUAUUUUUGGGCGCGGCUGUGCCCGCGGCCACUUUUUGGCACACGGAGGCGCCUCGCAAAGUCUCGCGCCAUUCCGAGUCCGGCGGACGAAGUUGGCCAGCCCCACCCCCCAAGGCUAUAGCCCACCCGUUUUUGUGGCCUUUUUCCGCUGGACGAACUUGGCGCCCCGGCCUUCGGGCGGUUAUUUUUGGGUGCGGCUGUGCCCGCGGCCUAUUUUUGGCACACGGAGGCACAUCGCAAAGUCUCACACCAUUCCGAGUCCGGCGGAUGAAGUUGGCCAGCCCCACCCCCCAAGGCUAUAGCCCACCCGUUUUUGUGACAUUUUUCCGCUAGACGAACUUGGCGCCCCGCCCUUCGGGCUGUUAUUUUUGGGCGCGACUGUGCCCGCGGCCUAUUUUUGGCACACGGAGGCUCCUCGCAAAGUCUCGCCCCAUUCCGAGUCCGGCGGACGAUGUUGGCCAGCCCCACCCCCCAAGGCUAUAGCCCACACGUUUUUGUGGCAUUUUUCCGCUGGACGAACUUGGCGCCCCGGCCUUCAGGCUGUUAUUUUUUCGCGCGGCUGUGCCCGCGGCCACUUUUUGGCACACGGAGGUGCCUCGCAAAGUCUCGUGCCAUUCCGAGUCCGGCGGACGAAGUUGGCCAGCCCCACCCCCCAAGGCUAUAGCCCACCCGUUUUUGUGGCCUUUUUCCGCUGGACGAACUUGGCGCCCCGGCCUUCGGGCUGUUAUUUUUUGGCGCGGCUGUGCGCGCGGCCACUUUUUGGCACACGGAGGCGCCUCGCAAAGUCUCGUGCCAUUCCGAGUCCGGCGGACGAAGUUGGCCAGCCCCACCCCCCAAGGCUAUAGCCCACCCGUUUUUGUGGCCUUUUUCCGCUGGACGAACUUGGCGCCCCGGCCUUCGGGCUGUUAUUUUUGGGCGCGGCUGUUCCCGCGGCCUAUUUUUCGCACAUGGAGGCGCCUCACAAAGUCUCGCGCCAUUCCGAGUCCGGCGGACGAAGUUGGCCAGCCCCACCCCCCAAGGCUAUAGCCCACCCGUUCUUGUGACAUUUUUCCGCUGGACGAACUUGGCGCCCCGGUCUUCGGGCCGUUAUUUUUGGGCGCGGCUGUGCCCGCGGCCACUUUUUGGCACACCGAGGUGCCUCGCAAAGUCUCGCGCCAUUCCAAGUCUGGCGGACGAAGUCGGCCAGCCCCACCCCCCAAGGCUAUAGCCCACCCGUUUUUGUGGCCUUUUUCCGCUGGACGAACUUGGCGCCCCGGUCUUCGGGCCGUUAUUUUUGGGCGCGGCUGUGCCCGCGGCCACUUUUUGGCACACGGAGGUGCCUCGCAAAGUCUCGCGCCAUUCCGAGUCCGGCGGACGAAGUUGGCCAGCCCCACCCCCCAAGGCUAUAGCCCACCCGUUUUUGUGGCCUUUUUCCGCUGGACGAACUUGGCGCCCCGGCCUUCGGGUGGUUAUUUUUGGCUGCGGCUGAGCUCGCGGCCUAUUUUUGGCACGCGGGGGCCCCUCGCAAAGUCUCGCACCAUUCCGAGUCCGGCGGACGAAGUUGGCCAGCCCCACCCCCCAAGGCUAUAGCCCACCCGUUUUUGUGUCCUAUUUCCGCUGGACGAACUUGGCGCCCAGGCCUUCAGGCGGUUAUUUUUGGGCGCGCCUCUGCCCGCGUCCUAUUUUUGGCACACAGAGGUGCCUCACAAAGUCUCGCGCCAUUCCGAGUCCGGCGGACGAAGUCGGCGGGCCCCACCCCCGAAGGCUAUAGCCCACCCGUUUUUGGGGCCUUUUUCCGCUGGACGAACUUGGCGCCCCGGCCUUCGGGCGGUUAUUUGUGGGCGCGGCUUUGUACUCAGCCUAUAUUUGGCACACGGAGGCCCCUCGUAAAGUCUCGCGGCAUUCCGAGUCCGGCGGACGAAGUUGGCCAGCCCCACCCCCCAAGGCUAUAGCCCACCCGUUUUUGUGGCCUUUUUCCGCUGGACGAACUUGGCGCCCCGGCCUUCGGGCGGUUAUUUUUGGGUGCGGCUUUGCCCGCGGACUAUUUUUCGCACACGGAGGCCCCUCGCAAAGUCUCACGCCAUUCCGAGUCCGGCGGACGAAGUCGGCCAGCCCCACCCCCCAAGGCUAUAGCCCACCCGUUUUUGUGUCCUUUUUCCGCUGGACAAACUUAGCGCCCCGGCCUUCGGGCGGUUAGUUUUGGGCGCGGCUUUGCCCGUGGCCUAGUUUUGGCACACGGAGGCCCCUCGCAAAGUCUCGCGGCAUUCCGAGUCCGGCGGACGAAGUGGGCCAGCCCCACCCCCCAAGGCUAUAACCACCCGUUUUUGUGGCCUUUUUCCGCUGGACGAACUUAGCGCCCCGGCCUUCGCGCAGUUAUUUUUGGGCGCGGCCUUCCCGCGGCCUAUUUUUGGCACACGGAGGCUCCUCGCAAAGUCUCGCGUCAUUCCGAGUCCGGCGGACGAAGUCGGCCAGCCCCACCCCCCAAGGCUAUAGCCCACCCGUUUUUGUGGCCUUUUUCCGCUGGACGAACUUGGCGCCCCGGCCUUCGGGCGGUUAUUUUUGGGCGCGGCUUUGCCCGCGGACUAUUUUUGGCACACGGAGGCCCCUCGCAAAGUCUCGCGCCAUUCCGAGUCCGGCGGACGAAGUCGGCCAACCCCACCCCCCAAGGCUAUAGCCCACCCGUUUUUGUGUCCUUUUUCCGUUGGACAAACUUAGCGCCCCGGCCUUCGGACGGUUAUUUUUGGGCGCAGCUUUGCCCGUGGCCUAGUUUUGGCUCACGGAGGCCCCUCGCAAAGUCUCGCGGCAUUCCGAAUCCGGCGGACGAAGUUGGCCAGCCCCACCCCCCAAGGCUAUAACCCACCCGUUUUUGUGGCCUUUUUCCGCUGGACGAACUUGGCGCCCCGGCCUUCGCGCAGUUAUUUUUGGGCACGGCCUUGCCCGCGGCCUAUUUUUGGCACACGGAGGCUCCUCGGAAAGUCUCGCGUCAUUCCGAGUCCGGCGGACGAAGUCGGCCAGCCCCACCCCCCAAGGCUAUAGCCCACCCGUUUUUGUGGCCUUUUUCCGCUGGACGAACUUGGCGCCCCGGCCUUCGGGCGGUUAUUUUUGGUCGCGGCUUUGCCCGCGGCCUAUUUUUGGCACACGGAGGCCCCUCGCAAAGUCUCGCGCCAUUCCAAUUCCGGCGGACGAAGUAGGCCAGCCCCACCCCCCAAGGCUAUAACCCACCCGUUUUUGGUGGCCUUUUUCCGCUGGACGAACUUGGCGCCCCGGCCUUCGGGCGGUUAUUUUUGGUCGUAGCUUUGCCCGCGUCCUAUUUUUAGCACACGGAGGCCCCUCGCAAAGUCUCACGGCAUUCCGAGUCCGGCGGAUGAAGUUGGCCAGCCCCACCCCCCAAGGCUAUAGCCCACCCGUUUUUGUGGCCUUUUUCCACAGGCGAACUUGGCUCCCUGGCCUGCGUUCGCAUAUUUAUGGGUGCGGCUGUACCCGCGGCCUAUUUUUGGCACACGGAGGCCCCUCGCCAAAGUCUCGCGCCAAUCCGAGUCCGGCGGACGAAGUUGGCCAGCCCCACCCCCCAAGGCUAUAGCCCACCCGUUUUUUUGGCCUUUUUCCGCUGGACGAACUUGGCGUCCCGGCCGUCGGGCGGUUAUUUUUGGGCGCGGCUUUCCCCGCGGCCUAUUUUCGUACACGGAGGCCCCUCGCAAAGUCUCGCGGGAUUCCGAGUCCGGCGGACGAAGUUGGCCAGCCCCACCCCCCAACGCUAUAGCCCACCCGUUUUUGUGGCCUUUUUCCGCUGGACGAACUUGGCGCCCCGGCCUUCGGGCAGUUAUUUUUGGGCGUGGCUUUGCCUGCGGCCUUUUUUUUGCACACGGAGGCCCCUCGUAAAGUCUCGCACCAUUCCGAGUCCGGCGGACGAAGUUGGCCAGCCCCACCCCCCAAGGCUAUAGCCCACCCGUUUUUGUGGCCUUUUUCCGCAGGACGAAAUUGGCGCCCCGGCCUUCGGGUUGUUAUUUUUGGCUGUAGCUUUUCCCGUGGCCUAUUUUUGGCACACGGAGGCCCCUCAAAAAGUCUCGCGGCAUUCCGAGUCCGGCGGACGAAGUUGGCCAGCCCCACGCCCGAAGGCUAUAGCCCACCCGUUUUUGUGGCCUUUUUCCGCUGGACGAACUUGGCGCCCCGGCCUUCGGGCGGUUAUUUUUGGGCGCGGCUUUGUCCACGGACUAUUUUUGGCACACGGAGGCCCCUCGCAAAGUAUCGCGGCAUUCCGAGUCCGGCGGACGAAGUUGGCCAGCCCCACCCCCGAAGGCUAUAGCCCACCCGUUUUUGUGGCCUUUUUCCGCUGGACGAACUUGGCACCCCGGCCUUCGGGCGGUUAUUUCUUGACGCGGCUUUUCCCACGGCCUAUUUUUGGCACACGGAGGCCCCUCGCAAAGUCUCACGGUAUUCCGAGUCCGGCGGACGAAGUUGGCCAGCCCCACCCCCCAAGGCUAUAGCCCACCCGUUUUUGUGGCCUUUUUCCGCAGGACGAAAUUGGCGCCCCCGCCUUCGGGUUGUUAGUUUUGGGCGUAGCUUUGCCCGUGGCCUAUUUUUGGCACACGGAGGCCCCUCAAAAAGUCUCGCGGCAUUCCGAGUCCGGCGGACGAAGUUGGCCAGCCCCACCCCCGAAGGCUAUAGCCCACCCGUUUUUGUGGCCUUUUUCCGCUGGACGAACUUGGCGCCCCGGCCUUCGGGCGGUUAUUUUUGGGCGUGGCUUUGUCCACGGCCUAUUUUUGGCACACGGACGCCCCUCGCAAAGUCUCACGGCAUCCCGAGUCCGGCGGACGAAGUUGGCCAGCCCCUCCCCCCAAGGCUAUAGCCCACCCGUUUUUGUGGCCUUUUUCCGCUGGACGAACUUGGCGCCCCGGCCUUCGGGCGGUUAUUUUUGGCCAUAGCUUUGCCCGUGGCCUAUUUUUGGCACACGGAGGCCCCUCGAAAAGUCUCGUGGCAUUCCGAGUCCGGCGCACGAAGUUGGCCAGCCCCACCCCCGAAGGCUAUAGCCCACCCAUUUUUGUGGCCUUUUUCCGUGGACGAACUUGGCGCCCCGGCCUUCGGGCGGUUAUUUUUGGGCGCGGCUUUGUCCGCGGCCUAUUUUUGCCACACGGAGGCCCCUAGCAAAGUCUCGCGGCAUUCCGAGUCCGGCGGACGAAGUUGGCCAGCCCCUCCCCCCAAGGCUAUAGCCCACCCGUUUUUGUGGCCUUUUUCCGCUGGACGAACAUGGCGUCCCGGCCGUCGGGCGGUUAUUUUUGGGCGUAGCUUUGCCCGUGGCCUAUUUUUGGCACACGGAGGCCCCUCGAAAAGUCUCGCGGCAUUCCGAGUCCGGCGGACGAAGUGGGCCAACCCCACCCCCGAAGGCUAUAGCCCACCCGUUUUUGUGGCCUUUUUCCGCUGGAUGAACUUGGCGCCCCGGCCUUCGGGCGGUUAUUUUUGGGCGUGGCUUUGUCCGCGGCCUAUUUUUGGCACACGGAGGCCCCUCGUAAAGUCUCGCGCCAUUCCGAGUCCGGCGGACGAAGUUGGCCAGCCCCACCCCCCAAGGCUAUAGCCCACCCGUUUUUGUGGCCUUUUUCCGCUGGACGAACUUGGCGCCCCGGCCUUCGGGCGGUUAUUUCUGGGUUCGGCUUUUCCCGCGGCCUAUUUUUGGCACACGGAGGCCCCUCGCAAAGUCUCGCGGCAUUCCGAGUCCGGCGGACGAAGUUGGCCAGCCCCACCCCCCAAGGCUAUAGCCCACCCGUUUUUGUGGCCUUUUUCCGCUGGACGAACUUGGCGCCCCGGCCUUCGGGCUGUUAUUUCUCAGCGCGGCUUUUCCCGUGGCCUCUUUUUUGCACACAGAGGCCCCUCGCAAAGUCUCACGGCAUUCCGAGUCCGGCGGACGAAGUUGGCCAGCCCCACCCCCGAAGGCUAUAGCCCACCCGUUGGCCUUUUUCCGCUGGACGAACUUGGCGCCCAGGCCUUCGGGCGGUUAUUUCUUGGCGCGGCUUUGCCCUUGGCCUAUUUUUGGCACACGGAGGCCCCUCGCAAAGUCUCGCGGCAUUCCGAGUCCGGCGGACGAAGUUGGCCAGCCCCACCCCCCAAGGCUAUAGCCCACCCGUUUUUGUGGCCUUUUUCCGCUGGACGAACUUGGCGCCCCGGCCUUCGGGCGGUUAUUUCUGGGUGCGGCUUCUCCCGCGGCCUAUUUUUGGCACACGGAGGCCCCUCGCAAGGUCUCGCGGCAUUCCGAGUCCGGCGGACGAAGUUGGCCAGCCCCACCCCCCAAGGCUAUAGCCCACCCGUUUUUGUGGCCUUUUUCCGCUGGACGAACUUGGCGCCCCGGCCUUCAGGCUGUUAUUUCUCGGCGCGGGUUUUCCCGUGGCCUCUUUUUCGCACACGGAGGCCCCUCGCAAAGUCUCGCGGCAUUCCGAGUCCGGUGGACGAAGUGGGCCAGCCCCACCCCCCAAGGCUAUAGCCCACCCGUUUUUGUGGCCUUUUUCCGCAGGACGAACUUGGCGCCCCGGCCUUCGGGCGGUUAUUUUUGGGCGCAGCUUUGCCCGCGGCCUAUUUUUCGCACAUGGAGGCCCCUCGCAAAGUCUCGCGGCAUUCCGAGUCCGGCGGACGAAGUUGGCCAGCCCCACCCCCCAAAGCUAUAGCCCACCCGUUUUUGUGGUUUUUUCCGCUGGACGAACUUGGCGCCCCGGCCUUCGGGUGGUUAUUUCUUGGCGCGGCUUUGCCCACGUCCUAUUUUUGUCACACGGAUUCCCCUCGCAAAGUCACGCGGCAUUCCGAGUCCGGCGGACGAAGUUGCCCAGCCCCACCCCCCAAGGCUAUAGCCCACCCGUUUUGGUGGCCUUUUUCCGCUGGACGAACUUGUUGCCCUGGCCUUCGGGCGGUUAUUUUUGGGCGCAGCUUUGCCCGCGGCCUAUUUUUGGCAGACGGAGGGCGCUCGCAAAGUAUCGUGGCAUUCCGAGUCCGGCGGACGAAGUUGGCCAGCCCCACCCCCCAAGGCUAUAGCCCACCCGUUUUUGUGGCCUUUUUCCGCUGGACGAACUUGGCGCCCCGGCCUUCGGGCGGUUAUUUCUGGGCGCGGCUUUUCCCGCGGCCUAUUUUUGGCACACGGAGGCCCCUCGGAAAGUCUCACGGCAUUCCGAGUCCGGCGGACGAAGUUGGCCAGCCCCACGCCCGAAGGCUAUAGCCCACCCGUUUUUGCGGCCUUUUUCCGCUGGAUGAACUUGGGGCCCCGGCCUUCGGGCGGUUAUUUUUGGGCGCGGCUUUUCCCGUGCCCUAUUUUUGGCACACGGAGGGCCCUCGCAAAGUAUCGUGGCAUUCCGAGUCCGGCGGAAGAAGUUGGCCAGCCCCACCCCACAAGGCUAUAGCCCACCCGUUUUUGUGGCCUUUUUCCGCUGGAAGAACUUGGCGCCCCGGCCUUCGGGCGGUUAUUUCUGGGCGCGGCUUUUCCCGCGGCCUAUUUUUGGCACACGGAGGCCCCUCAGAAAGUCUCGCGGCAUUCCGAGUCCGGCGGACGAAGUUGGCCAGCCCCACCCCCCAAGGAUAUAGCCCACCCGUUUUUGUGGCCUUUUUCCGCUGGAUGAACUUGGCGCCCCGGCCUUCGGGCUGUUAUUUCUGGGCGCGGCUUUUCCCGCGGCCUAUUUUUGGCACAUGGAGGCCCCUCGCAAAUUAUCGCGGCAUUCCGAGUCCGGCGGACGAAGUUGGCCAGCCCCACCCCCCAAGGCUAUAGCCCACCCGUUUUUGUGGCCUUUUUCCGCAGGACGAAUUUGGCGCCCCGGCCUUCGGGCAGUUAUUUUUGGGCGCAGCUUUGGCCGCGGCCUAUUUUUGGCACACGGAGGCCCCUCGCAAAGUAUCGCGGCAUUCCGAGUCCGGCGGACGAAGUUGGCCAGCCCCACCCCCCAAGGCUAUAGCCCACCCGUUUUGGUGGCCUUUUUCCGCUGGACGAACUUGGUGCCCUGGCCUUCGGGCGGUUAUUUUUGGGCGCAGCUUUUCCCGUGGCCUAUUUUUGGCACACGGAGGGCCCUCGCAAAGUAUCGUGGCAUUCCGAGUCCGGCGGACGAAGUUGGCCAGCCCCACCCCCCAAGGCUAUAGCCCACCCGUUUUUGUGGCCUUUUUCCGCUGGACGAACUUGGCGCCCCGGCCUUUGGGCUGUUAUUUUUGGGCCCGGCUUUGCCCGCGUCCUAUUUUUGGCACACGGAGGCCCCUCGCAAAGUCUCGCGGCAUUCCGAGUCCGGCGGACAAAGUGGGCNNNNNNNNNNNNNNNNNNNNNNNNNNNNNNNNNNNNNNNNNNNNNNNNNNNNNNNNNNNNNNNNNNNNNNNNNNNNNNNNNNNNNNNNNNNNNNNNNNNNNNNNNNNNNNNNNNNNNNNNNNNNNNNNNNNNNNNNNNNNNNNNNNNNNNNNNNNNNNNNNNNNNNNNNNNNNNNNNNNNNNNNNNNNNNNNNNNNNNNNNNNNNNNNNNNNNNNNNNNNNNNNNNNNNNNNNNNNNNNNNNNNNNNNNNNNNNNNNNNNNNNNNNNNNNNNNNNNNNNNNNNNNNNNNNNNNNNNNNNNNNNNNNNNNNNNNNNNNNNNNNNNNNNNNNNNNNNNNNNNNNNNNNNNNNNNNNNNNNNNNNNNNNNNNNNNNNNNNNNNNNNNNNNNNNNNNNNNNNNNNNNNNNNNNNNNNNNNNNNNNNNNNNNNNNNNNNNNNNNNNNNNNNNNNNNNNNNNNNNNNNNNNNNNNNNNNNNNNNNNNNNNNNNCACGGAGGCCCCUCCCAAAGUCUCGCGGCAUUCGGAUUCCGGUGGACAAAGUGGCCCACCCCCACCCCCAAGACUAUAGCCCACCCGUUUUUGUGGCCUUUUUCCGCUGGACGAACUUGGCGCCCCGGCCUUUGGGCUGUUAUUUUUGGGCGCGGCUUUGCCCGCGGCCUAUUUUUAGCACACGGAGGCCCCUCGCAAAGUAUCGCGGCAUUCCGAGUCCAACGGACGAAGUUGGCCAGCCCCACCCCCCAAGGCUAUAGCCCACCCGUUUUUGUGGCCUUUUUCCGCUGGACGAAUUUGGCGACCCGGCCUUCGGGCGGUUAUUUUUGGGCGCGGCUGUGCCCACGGCCUAUUUUUGGCACACGUUGGCGCCUCGCAAAGUCUCGCGCCAUUCUGAGUCCGGCGGACGAAGUUGGCCAGCCCCACCCCCCAAGGCUAUUGCCCACCCGUUUUUGUGGCCUUUUUCCGCUGGACGAACUUGGCGCCCCGGCCUUCGGGCGGUUAUUUUUGGGCGCGGCUGUGUUCGUGGCCUAUUUUUGGGACACGGAGGUGCCUCGUAAAGUC